rnacentral:tRNA from 1 species
GCGAGGAUGGCGGAAUGGCAGACGCGCUGGACUUAGGAUCCAGUGGGUAACCCCCGUGAGAGUUCAAAUCUCUCUCCUCGCA